CUACGGGAUGCAGCAGUGAGGAAUAUUGGGCAAUGGAGGCAACUCUGACCCAGCCAUGCCGCGUGCAGGAAGACGGCCCUCUGGGUUGUAAACUGCUUUUGUUUGGGAAUAAACCCUUCUACGUGUAGAAGGCUGAAGGUACCUUACGAAUAAGGAUCGGCUAACUCCGUGCCAGCAGCCGCGGUAAUACGGAGGAUCCAAGCGUUAUCCGGAUUUAUUGGGUUUAAAGGGUCCGUAGGCGGAUCUUUAAGUCAGUGGUGAAGGCCCACAGCUCAACUGUGGAACUGCCAUUGAUACUGGAGAUCUUGAGUGUAGUAGAAGUAGGCGGAAUAGGGCAUGUAGCGGUGAAGUGCAUAGAUAUGCCCUAGAACACCGAUUGCGAAGGCAGCUUACUAUGUUACAACUGACGCUGAGGGACGAAAGCGUGGGGAGCAAACAGGAUUAGAUACCCUAGUAGUC
rnacentral:rRNA from 1 species